GAUCUCGGGGAAUUAUCGUAACUGUUGUAUUGAUCAUUAACCUGGUUCUUGUAAAAAUUCGUUAAGAGUUGAUUUAGGUUUUUCACCAAUACGUAUUCCAUUUCUGUUAAACUACCAAGAAUACUCCCAACUACACCCUUACAAUCAAACAAACUAUAAAAUCAUCAGAAGAUCCAGAAUAAUAAAGUGCAUGCUUAAUUAUCGGAAGAAGUAGAAUCAGGAAGUUUGUUAACUCAAUCCUGCAUGCUGAUUGUUAUUACAAUAGAUUGGAGUAAGGAUUGGAUCCGACACUGAAGGACUUCAAGAAGUGGCUUAUUUUAUUAAUUAAAUCAAUUAAGAAAUAUUGUUUU
rnacentral:lncRNA from 1 species